GGGUAGAGGAAGCUUGCUUCCUUGAGACCGGCGCACGGGUGCGUAACGCGUAUGCAAUCUGCCUUGUACUGAGGGAUAGCCCAGAGAAAUUUGGAUUAAUACCUCAUAGCAUUAUGAAAUCGCAUGGUUUUAUAAUUAAAGUUCCAACGGUACAAGAUGAGCAUGCGUCCCAUUAGUUAGUUGGUAAGGUAACGGCUUACCAAGACGAUGAUGGGUAGGGGUCCUGAGAGGGAGAUCCCCCACACUGGUACUGAGACACGGACCAGACUCCUACGGGAGGCAGCAGUGAGGAAUAUUGGUCAAUGGACGCAAGUCUGAACCAGCCAUGCCGCGUGCAGGAUGAAGCAUCUAUGGUGUGUAAACUGCUUUUGUACGGGAAGAAACAUUCCUACGUGUAGGAACUUGACGGUACCGUAAGAAUAAGGAUCGGCUAACUCCGUGCCAGCAGCCGCGGUAAUACGGAGGAUCCAAGCGUUAUCCGGAAUCAUUGGGUUUAAAGGGUCCGUAGGCGGCUUUAUAAGUCAGUGGUGAAAGCCCAUCGCUUAACGAUGGAACGGCCAUUGAUACUGUAGAGCUUGAAUUACUUGGAAGUAACUAGAAUAUGUAGUGUAGCGGUGAAAUGCUUAGAUAUUACAUGGAAUACCAAUUGCGAAGGCAGGUUACUACAAGUGGAUUGACGCUGAUGGACGAAAGCGUGGGGAGCGAACAGGAUUAGAUACCCUGGUAGUCCACGCCGUAAACGAUGGAUACUAGCUGUUCG
rnacentral:rRNA from 1 species